UCGGAAUAACUGGGCGUAAAGCGCACGCAGGCGGUUGGAUAAGUCAGAUGUGAAAGCCCCGGGCUCAACCUGGGAACUGCAUUUGAAACUGUCUGACUAGAGUCUUGUAGAGGGGGGUAGAAUUCCAGGUGUAGCGGUGAAAUGCGUAGAGAUCUGGAGGAAUACCGGUGGCGAAGGCGGCCCCCUGGACAAAGACUGACGCUCAGGUGCGAAAGCGUGGGGAGCAAACAGGAUUAGAUACCCUGGUAGUCCACGCCGUAAACGAUGUCAACUUGGAGUCUGUGCCAUUGAGCGUGGGCUCCGAAGCUAACGCGAUAAGUUGACCGCCUGGGGAGUACGGCCGCAAGGUUAAAACUCAAAUGAAUUGACGGGGGCCCGCACAAGCGGUGGAGCAUGUGGUUUAAUUCGAUGCAACGCGAAGAACCUUACCUGGCCUUGACAUGUCUGGAACCUUGUAGAGAUACGAGGGUGCCUUCGGGAAUCAGAACACAGGUGCUGCAUGGCU
rnacentral:rRNA from 1 species